UACGGAGGGUGCAAGCGUUAUCCGGAUUCACUGGGUUUAAAGGGUGCGUAGGUGGGCAGGUAAGUCAGUGGUGAAAUCUCCGGGCUUAACUCGGAAAGGUCAACUGAUACUGUGCGACUAGAGUGCAGAAGGGGCAACUGGAAUUCUCGGUGUAGCGGUGAAAUGCGUAGAUAUCGAGAGGAACACCUGCGGCGAAGGCGGGUUGCUGGGCUGACACUGACGCUGAUGCGCGAAAGCCAGGGGAGCGAACGGG
rnacentral:rRNA from 1 species